GGGUCAGUAGGUUGGUCGUGCCACCGGUACGUACUGGUCUCACUGAUUCCUCCUUCUUGAAGAACCGUAAUGCCAUUAAUUUGGUGUUGCGGGGAGACAGGACUGUUACUUUGAAAAAAUUAGAGUGUUUAAAGCAAGCUAACGCUUGAAUACAUUAGCAUGGAAUAAUGAAAUAGGACGAUCGAUCCUAUUUUGUUGGUUUCUAGGAUUGACGUA
rnacentral:rRNA from 1 species